AUAAAGACUGUUUAUUUCUUUUCUGCGAAUUUAUGAAUUGUUAAUGCAGUCAAUACAUAUUAGCUUUGUUUGUCAUUUGGUUAAAAUGCAAUUUGAAUUUUCCAAGAGUUGCCUUAAUAUCAGUUUUUGUACAGUGAAAUUUAUGAGUCCUUACAGAUUUAUAAGGUUUUAUUAAUGGCUAGAAAGCCAUGCAUAAUUUCUGACUUUGUUUAUUCCAGCAUUACAGAAUUAGUAAGAGUUGACAUUGCAGGGCUUAUUGAAUAAAUUCAUUUCCUUGGCAGUGUGUGCAUUUUGAAUUUUCUUGAGUUAAGCCAGAAAAAGUGAAUGCAUCAGCACAAGCUAGUAAAUAGCAACUGCACUGCAAGAGGAUUUCAAGCUAGAGCAAUGCAAGGAAGAAGCUCUAAACCAGAGCAAAUUAUCCACAGACAGUAAAUGCGUUGGAGCAGAUCAUCCCUUGCCUAAUGGUGUAGCAAAGAGAGAGGAACAUUGCAGGAGUGAACAUGAGAGAGCCUGGUUGCACGCUGCAAUGCAUCCCGUCAUUGAACGGCCCAUCACCAUGCUCCAAGAGCCCUUCCCUGGGUAUUGCAGCUUGGUACACACUGAAGAGUGGGGCAAUUACUCGUCAGUGAGGAAAUGCAGGUUUUAUUUAAUGGAGGAUAAGCAUCAGAAGCAUCUGGGGAAAACCUCUGAUUCAAAGUGCUGUGCUGUGAAUAUGAAUUUUAACCAGUAAUAAGAAAAAAGCAGAGUAUCAUCUUUAGUAAGCUGAGUUCAACUCUACUGAAGCACAGGGGCUGAAGGAA